rnacentral:piRNA from 1 species
AUGAGAUCUGGUUCCCUCUUCUGUUGU